GAUGAACGCUGGCGGCGUGCCUAAUACAUGCAAGUCGAGCGAACGGACGAGAAGCUUGCUUCUCUGAUGUUAGCGGCGGACGGGUGAGUAACACGUGGAUAACCUACCUAUAAGACUGGGAUAACUUCGGGAAACCGGAGCUAAUACCGGAUAAUAUUUUGAACCGCAUGGUUCAAAAGUGAAAGACGGUUUUGCUGUCACUUAUAGAUGGAUCCGCGCUGCAUUAGCUAGUUGGUAAGGUAACGGCUUACCAAGGCAACGAUGCAUAGCCGACCUGAGAGGGUGAUCGGCCACACGGGAACUGAGACACGGUCCAGACUCCUACGGGAGGCAGCAGUAGGGAAUCUUCCGCAAUGGGCGAAAGCCUGACGGAGCAACGCCGCGUGAGUGAUGAAGGUCUUCGGAUCGUAAAACUCUGUUAUUAGGGAAGAACAUAUGUGUAAGUAACUGUGCACAUCUUGACGGUACCUAAUCAGAAAGCCACGGCUAACUACGUG
rnacentral:rRNA from 1 species